UACGUAGGGUGCAAGCGUUGUCCGGAAUUAUUGGGCGUAAAGAGCUCGUAGGCGGUCUGUCGCGUCGGACGUGAAAACCCAGGGCUCAACCCUGGGCCUGCGUUCGAUACGGGCAGACUGGAGUACUGCAGGGGAGACUGGAAUUCCUGGUGUAGCGGUGGAAUGCGCAGAUAUCAGGAGGAACACCGGUGGCGAAGGCGGGUCUCUGGGCAGUAACUGACGCUGAGGAGCGAAAGCGUGGGGAGCGAACAGG
rnacentral:rRNA from 1 species